rnacentral:rRNA from 1 species
AAAGUUUGAUCCUGGCUCAGGACGAACGCUGGCGGCGCGCCUAACACAUGCAAGUCGAACGAGCGAGAGAGAGCUUGCUUUCUCGAGCGAGUGGCGAACGGGUGAGUAACGCGUGAGGAACCUGCCUCAAAGAGGGGGACAACAGUUGGAAACGACUGCUAAUACCGCAUAAGCCCACGGGUCGGCAUCGACCAGAGGGAAAAGGAGCAAUCCGCUUUGAGAUGGCCUCUCGUCCGAUUAGCUAGUUGGUGAGGUAAUGGCCCACCAAGGCGACGAUCGGUAGCCGGACUGAGAGGUUGAACGGCCACAUUGGGACUGAGACACGGCCCAGACUCCUACGGGAGGCAACAGUGGGGAAUAUUGCACAAUGGGGGAAACCCUGAUGCAUCGACGCCUCGUGGAGGAAGAAGGUCUUCGGAUUGUGAACUCCUGUUGUUGUGGAAGAUAAUGACGGGACCCACCAAGGAAGUGACGGCUAACUACGUGCCAGCAGCCGCGGUAUAACGUAGGUCACAAGCGUUGUCCGGAAUACUGGUGUAAAGGGAGCGCAGGCGGGAAGACAAGUUGGAAGUGAAAUCUAUGGGCUCAACCCAUAAACUGCUUUCAAAACUGUUUUUCUUGAGUAGUGCAGAGGUAGGCGGAAUUCCCGGUGUAGCGGUGGAAUGCGUAGAUAUCGGGAGGAACACCAGUGGCGAAGGCGGCGUACUGGGCACCAACUGACGCUGAGGCUCGAAAGUGUGGGUAGCAAACAGGAUUAGAUACCCUGGUAGUCCACACGGUAAACGAUGAUUACUAGGUGUUGGAGGAUUGACCCGUUCAGUGCCGCAGUUAACACAAUAAGUAAUCCACGUGGGGAGUACGACCGCAAGGUUGAAACUCAAAGGAAUUGACGGGGGCCCGCACAAGCAGUGGAGUAUGUGGUUUAAUUCGACGCAACGCGAAGAACCUUACCAAGUCUUGACAUCCCUUGACAGACAUAGAAAUAUGUAUUUUCUUCGGAGCAAGGAGACAGGUGGUGCAUGGUUGUCGUCAGCUCGUGUCGUGAGAUGUUGGGUUAAGUCCCGCAACGAGCGCAACCCUUAUGGUCAGUUACUACGCAAGAGGACUCUGGCCAGACUGCCGUUGACAAAACGGAGGAAGGUGGGGACGACGUCAAAUCAUCAUGCCCUUUAUGACUUGGGCUACACACGUAGUUCAAUGGCGUUAAACAAAGAGAAGCAAGACCGCGAGGUGGAGCAAAACUCAGAAACAACGUCCCAGUUCGGACUGCAGGCUGCAACUCGCUUGCACGAAGUCGGAAUUGUUAGUAUUGGCGGAUCAGCAUGACGCGGUGAAUACGUUCCCGGGCCUUGCACACACCGCCCGUC